rnacentral:rRNA from 1 species
GAUGAACGCUGGCGGCGUGCCUAAUACAUGCAAGUCGAACGGUACUCUUUCGGGAGUACAGUGGCGAACGGGUGAGUAAUACAUUAAGGAACCUGCCCUCGGGACCGGGAUAGCUGAUGGAAACGUCAGGUAAUAGCGGACUGUGAGUCAUUAUGGCAUCAUGAUGACUUGAAAGGAUGCAGCAAUGCAUCGCGCGGGGAUGGCCUUAUGGCGCAUUAGCCAGUUGGCGGGGUAACGGCCCACCAAAGCGAUGAUGCGUAGCCGAUCUGAGAGGACGACCGGCCACAUUGGGACUGAGACACGGCCCAGGACUCCUACGGGAGGCAGCAGUAGGGAAUUUUCGGCAAUGGGCGCAAGCCUGACCGAGCAACGCCGCGUGAGUGUUAAGGCCUUCGGGUUGUAAAGCUCUGUUGCCGGGGACGAACGGUACUUAUAGGAAAUGAUAAGUAAGUGACGGUACCCGGCGGAGAAAGCCACGGCUAACUACGUGCCACG